UAUAAAAAACUUUAUAAUGGUUCAAUAAUUCUAUGAAAAAACAUAACCCCUUUCUAUCAAAUGUUGUUAAAACUUUACUUAAAAAAUAAUAAGUUCUAAUGAUUAUAACAUAUUUUAACUCUUUUAUUAACUGCUCUAAAGGGGGCAAACAAAACAAAUUGAUCUACCUAAGUGGCAGUGAAGGAAAAAAAAAUGGCUACAAAUAUCAAAAAUAUGUGUACUAAGAUUUUUUUACUUUCCAUAUUCUUUCUUUCAAUCGGGGCAAAGUAUUUUUAUAAAUGCAAAACUAUUGAUGAUUGUCCAACCGCUUUCCACCCGUAUUUAAUUUUUAAGUGCAUCAACAAUGAUUGUAUGUGACGAAUCCGGAGAUCGAAUGAGGGGAAAAUGAUUUCUUCAACUAGAGAAAAUCUAGGAAAAUGAUUACGUAUAUUCCAUGUUAUAUUUUCACUUAUUUUGUUUUAUAAGUUCAUGUCCCUUGAAAUAAUGGAUUUGUGCUAAAAUAUGUUUUUAGUGAUAUCAAAUGUUGGACUAAAUAUUAUGGAAGUUAUCUUUUCUCAUUCUCUUUUAACAUUGUAUG